CACAGGUUGGGAGGGGAAGUUUUUGACUCCUUCCACAGAGGGGGGCCUCCAAGAGAAUAUUAGGAAAUCAACCUAGCUCCAACUCACUUCUUCAUUGGCGAAAAACUGAGGCCCAAGGAGAUGAAGUAAUUUGACCGUGCCUUACUCAGUUGCUUCUAGAUAUCCAUAAAGGAAAUAAAAAGAUAGCUAGCUACUAUCCUGACCGGAUUGCACAAUUGACAGAUUAAGCAUGUUUACAGGACACUAUCAGGCCAUUAUCAAGGCCUAUGGACUGAGCAAGCAAGUCGUUCUGAAGUUCUGCUACAUGGGCACCUUGGGGAGCUGCAUUCAGUGGAAGAGAGAUAAUGUGAAGUGGCUUCCAGUGAGUUGAAAGAGUUCAGGCAACUACCAAAAGUAUCUUGUAGGCUGUAAUUUAUAUGCAUGAA